AAAAAUCAUCAAGAGUGAGAUUAGGUUCUCCUCCAACCUGCCAACUCCGGCAAGGUGGAAAAAAGAUGAGGUUAAUCAACAAGUAUAGGAGUGUUA
rnacentral:ncRNA from 1 species